UGUUUCUACCCUUAGUCUUAAUCAAGAUUGGCUACAGACUGACUGCAUCCUAAUUGUUAAGAGCUCCUGUACAUUUAACACAUUUUUGUAGACCACAGGGAAUCAAGUAUAAAAUAAGCAUUUUCCAACUCAUGCACCCAGUAGGGCAGAGGAAGGCAGAAGGGGAACUAAGGAGAGAUCUCUGAAAAUCUGCAGUUGAUGCCUCGUGUUACAUGAUGCUAUAUCAGAUGAAGGUGUUAGAGGCAGAAAAAAAGAUUACUAUACAAUGUGCUGACAGAAGCAGAUUGGUCAGAAAGAUUAAAAAUCCAGGACUGGAUGAGAAGGAUAAUCCCAGAACCCUGAAUGCAGCUCACCAUUGCAGAUUAAGGCAGAAAUUGGAUGGAAAAGACUUAUGGGUAAACAUAUGCAAACAUGAGAUGAGCUAGAAGCAGAUAUCCACCCAUUCCUAGUUCUGAGAGCUACAGAGAAAAGUUAUUCUGUGGAAAACAUGAAUAGCAUCUAAGCUGGUGUUUUUCAGCACUAGGAUGUUGAUGCCAGAAAUUUGGAUAAACACCAACUUAAAUUGCCCUGGACAUUUCAACUGAAGAAUCUAUCCCUUGCUGUAGAUUGUUGUAUAAGAGAGCUAUCCAGUCACAAACACCAACCUUGUGUAUAAGAGACAAUUUCUGUAACUAGAAAGGCCAAAUGUCAGAUGAAGACAACUGAUGUUUAUGAGAACCCAUUCAUCCAAGAUUUAUGCCUGAGGUUCUAGAUAAAUUCCACAGGAUGAUUCAUAUUUGUGUGGUAUAGCAUGGACACCACAGAAUUCUGUGACAACUCAGAAUCUUAUAAUUGCAGGCUUGCCUGGUCACCUGUGACAUGUAAAACCUGCCUCCAAUCACUGACACAGAGGCAGUAACUAAAAUAAUAUUAUUCAUAAAAAAAUAUUUCAAAGAAUCAUAGAAUAGUAGCGUUGGAAGGGCUUAUAAGGCAAUAGAGUCCAACCCCCUGCUCAACACAGCAACCAAUUUAAAGCAUCCCUGACAGGUAGCUGUUCAGAUGCCUCUGGAAAGACCUCCAGUCUUGGAGAGCCCACCACCUCCCUACAGUAUUGGUUUGUUUAUUUAUUUAUUUUAUUAUUUUAUUUAUAUCCGCUCUAACAGUUAGGAAGUUUUUCCAUGUUCAGCCAAAAUCUGGCUUCCUGUCACUUGAGCCUGUUAUUCAAAGUCCUGCACUCUGGGACAGUCCACCACACCUGCUUCUUUGGACUAAAAACAAAUACAACAUUGAUAACAGAUGGACCUUACAAGAACUUUUGAAUAUCGCUGCAUUUGGCUACAUAAUUUUCUACAGUAUCAAUGACAAUUAUCAGCAGCAUUGAGAUAUGCUAGUUGGCAAGAGUAAAGAGGAAGUGACAAGAACCAGUGGGGGAGACCACCUGGAGAAGUCAGUAGCCAUUUAUUUUAAUGCUAAUUUCUACAUUUUAACUAGAAUCCUACAGGUAUAUGCUUCUUUUCUCACAACUCAAGGAACAGGUUUUUCAUUUAACUAUUACCACAUACCAGCAGAAUAACCAAAUCUGCUGUGGUACAAUUUCUGGAUGACCUCUUUGAACAAAACUACAAUUAUGCUUUCAAAAUCUCAAAUCACUUUCCUCAUGCCAUAACUAAACAUGCAACAAUGUUGUGCUUGACCUGUUGUGUUACAUACAUGUUUGUUAUCAUGCCUCCUGAAGGUUUGCCACAAUCUGUAGGGACAUCAUUGUAACCAGGAGCAUCACCACAGGCUCAAUCCAGAAGCAACCUGGAAGACAGUGUCUUCUGGUGGCCAGCCAUGUGUACAUUGCAGUAAAGGCACUCACUGCAUAGACAGCUCAAUCCUCCCACCUUCUCACCCACCAAAUACUCUUGUUCCAAACAGAGGAAGCAACGCAGUAACAGCUUAUUAACUCCAGGUCACCCACAAGUAUUUUAUCAAACAGCAAAUCAUUUCAGCAUAAAUCAUUCAGGCUGCAAUGUUCUUGCAAUGCCAUGUUUUAAACGUAACAGACGAGGAGAGAGCAGGGCAAAUGUUUGCCAAGCAGUGUUCAAGGAAAGCCAUUUACAUCAAGAAGGUGAAAAUGAGUUGCUAUCCUGUUUCUUAAGUAUGCGCUCUGCUGCAGUACGUUUAAGGUUGGAAACAGGGGAGAAAAAGAGAGCAAAUUGUACAAGUAUGGAUCCCACAAAGGGAUUCACCAAGAAUAAAUGGAAGUAGAAGGAUGACCUCCCAUAACAGAGGUUAUUUGUGUCCUCCUUCCACAAGUCAAGCUCUUCACAACAACCCUGU